rnacentral:rRNA from 1 species
AGAAUCAACGCUGGCGGCGUGCCUCAGACAUGCAAGUCGAACGAUUAAAGCUCUCUUCGGAGAGUGUAUAGAGUGGCGCACGGGUGAGUAACACGUAAGUAAUCUACCUUUGAGUGGGGAAUAACAGUCGGAAACGGCUGCUAAUACCGCAUAAUGCAGCGGCAUCGCAAGAUGACAGUUGUUAAAGGAGCAAUCCGCUUAAAAGAGGAGCUUGCGGCAGAUUAGCUUGUUAGGUAAGGUAACGUCUUACCAAGGCUACGAUCUGUAUCCGUCUAAGUAGGACGGUCGGACACACUGACACGUGAAUAACGGGUCAGACUCCGUAGGGAGCAGCAGGUCGGGUAAGUUUGGGCAAGUGGGACGAAAGCC